UACGCAUACAUUCCUUCAAUUGUUAAUCUUUAGUUAAGAGGAGUUCUAAGAGUUUUCUUGUACAAAUAAAAAUGAAACUAUCAACUGCUCUAUUUUUGAUGACUCUCAUAGUUGUUGCUUCAGUUGCCGUCAUUGAAGUGGAGGCGGAUCACGGAUGCCCUCAUCGUGAUCACGAAUGUUAUCAUCAUUGUCAUGGACAUGGAGAAUGCUAUAAACACCACUGCAUUUGCCGUUAUGAUAAAAAGUGAUGUCCCCCAUUGAUUCAGUACCAGUAUGGGGGCAACGCAUCACUUACCUCUGGAUGUUGCAAAUCGAGGAUUUCAGAAAAAGCUAUAAUACAGAUUAUUAAUGAAUGGUAUUAAAAAUAAUUCAAAAACUAUUACUACUUGUACAUGAAAAUCUGAAAAUAAAAAAACUUGA